rnacentral:rRNA from 1 species
GCUCUACACCCUUUGUGACAUACCUACAACUGUUGCUUCGGCGGGUAGGGUCUCCGCGACCCUCCCGGCCUCCCGCCUCCGGGCGGGUCGGCGCCCGCCGGAGGAUAACCAAACUCUGAUUUAACGACGUUUCUUCUGAGUGGUACAAGCAAAUAAUCAAAACUUUUAACAACGGAUCUCUUGGUUCUGGCAUCGAUGAAGAACGCAGCGAAAUGCGAUAAGUAAUGUGAAUUGCAGAAUUCAGUGAAUCAUCGAAUCUUUGAACGCACAUUGCGCCCGCCAGCAUUCUGGCGGGCAUGCCUGUUCGAGCGUCAUUUCAACCCUCAAGCUCUGCUUGGUGUUGGGGCCCUACAGCCGAUGUAGGCCCUCAAAGGUAGUGGCGGACCCUCCCGGAGCCUCCUUUGCGUAGUAACUUUACGUCUCGCACUGGGAUCCGGAGGGACUCUUGCCGUAAAACCCCCCCAAUUUUCCAAAGGUUGACCUCGGAUCAGGUAGGAAUACCCGCUGAACUUAAGCAUAUCAAUAAGCGGAGGAA